rnacentral:rRNA from 1 species
UACGGAGGGGGCUAGCGUUGUUCGGAAUUACUGGGCGUAAAGCGCACGUAGGCGGACCAGAAAGUCAGGGGUGAAAUCCCGGGGCUCAACCCCGGAACUGCCUUUGAAACUUCUGGUCUUGAGGUCGAGAGAGGUGAGUGGAAUUCCGAGUGUAGAGGUGAAAUUCGUAGAUAUUCGGAGGAACACCAGUGGCGAAGGCGGCUCACUGGCUCGAUACUGACGCUGAGGUGCGAAAGCGUGGGGAGCAAACAGG